GGACGAUGAUGACGGUACCCGCAGAAGAAGCCCCGGCUAACUUCGUGCCAGCAGCCGCGGUAAUACGAAGGGGGCUAGCGUUGCUCGGAAUGACUGGGCGUAAAGGGCGUGUAGGCGGUUUGUACAGUCAGAUGUGAAAUCCCCGGGCUUAACCUGGGAGCUGCAUUUGAUACGUGCAGACUAGAGUAUGAGAGAGGGUUGUGGAAUUCUCAGUGUAGAGGUGAAAUUCGUAGAUAUUGGGAAGAACACCGGUGGCGAAGGCGGCAACCUGGCUCAUUACUGACGCUGAGGCGCGAAAGCGUGGGGAGCAAACAGGAUUAGAUACCCUGGUAGUCCACGCUGUAAACGAUGUGUGCUGGAUGUUGGGUAACUUAGUUACUCAGUGUCGUAGCUAACGCGAUAAGCACACCGCCUGGGGAGU
rnacentral:rRNA from 1 species